AACGAGACCUCUGGGUCCCUUGCAAUCGGAACACUGAGGGCCUUAUAACCUCAAAGCCUACCUCAGCAUGAAUCAGAGGGAUCAGCUUCCAUGAAACACACAGCCCUAACCUGUGAAAGCUGGCCCUGAAAUGUGCUGUGAGAGAAUGGGGAACUCUCCUGUGGAGCUCCCGUAACAGACUGGCUGCAGGAACUUGUUAAAACGGCAGCAUACCUCAGCGUGAUAAGCUUGCGUAGCCUGGCAGGCACUGCCCCGUAAAGCGAAGGGAAGGAGCAGGAUAUAGCCCGUGUGUGUUUCACUAGGGAGCUGUUCACAUAGGGAGUGAAGGCCCCUGUCUGUCCCCGCCCCUUCCUAAGGGCCUAAGCCAUGGUUCAUGUUCAUCUCCCAUUCUGGGUAAAUGAACACAGAGCAGAGGAGUGGCACAGACGCAUCUAGAUUAAAAGGGUCACCUCUGUCCUCGGGCACUGGAGAGGCAUGAUAGUCAACAUGAGCCUCUAUCCAUUCCGGGGUGCAGAAUGGGAUGUGGGAGGCUGAGGCAGCACUGCGCAUGGCCAAGCCAAUGGUUGCCGAUGCCUGCCAGCAGCAGUGCUCCCCAGUUCAAGCUCCACUGUCAUUCCCAUGAACGGCAGCAGAGAAAGGCUUCUUCUCGCCUCCAAGGGACAGGAGGACAUUGCCCCUCCUCCUGAGGCCAUUGCUGGAGACUUGUUCCUCUCAGACUUUGCCCUGACAGUUUGACCAGCCCUCCUUCUCUCUCUCUCUCUUUUUCCAGAUCAUUCGAAAAGUCGUCCGACAGGUGGACUCCUCUGGUGCCAUCGACACCCAGCAGCACGAGGAGGUGGAGCUAAGAGGGAGUGGACUCCAGCCGGACCUGAUAGAAGGCAGGAAGGGGGCUCAAAUAGUGAAGCGGGCCAGCUUGAAAAGGGGCAAACAGUGACCUCUCCUCAAGUAGCCCCUUGGGAGGAUCACACCUCAACACCCAAACCCUGAACUCCACACACUCUUGUCAUGCACACGGGAGGAGACCUGGACCAGAGGGCUACUGAAGGGUCGCACGCGUUCUGAGCUCCCCGGCAUGACCUCUGUAAGGAGUUUCCUUUAGUCUCCUAUUCGCAUGAAUGACUGGCUGUAGACGCAUGACCUACAGUCUUCAGUCCUGCCUCUAGCGACUAUGGAUCUCUGUGGGAAUCAGGACAAAGGCGGCGAGAGAAGGGAGCGGAUAAGGAGCCCC
rnacentral:lncRNA from 1 species